GACCAUGUGGCCUAAUGGACAAGGCGUCUGACUUCGGAUCAGAAGAUUGAGGGUUCGAGUCCCUUCGUGGAUAAAACA